rnacentral:rRNA from 1 species
AUUGAACGCUGGCGGCAGGCCUAACACAUGCAAGUCGAACGAGUGGCGGACGGGUGAGUAAUGUCUGGGAAACUGCCUGAUGGAGGGGGAUAACUACUGGAAACGGUAGCUAAUACCGCAUACCAUCAGAUGUGCCCAGAUGGUAUUAGCUAGUUGGGGGGGUAAAGGCACACAAAGGCGACGAUCCAUAGCUGGUCUGAGAGGAUGACCAGCCACACUGGAACUGAGACACGGGCCAGACUCCUACGGGAGGCAGCAGUGGGGAAUAUUGCACAAUGGGCGCAAGCCUGAUGGAGCCAUGCCGCGUGUAUGAAGAAGGUCUUCGGGUUGUAAAGUACUGUCAGCGGGGAGGCGUUACCCACAGAAGAAGCACCGGCUAACUCCGUGCCAGCAGCCGCGGUAAUAC